rnacentral:lncRNA from 10 species
GUCACCGAGGCAUGCUAGGCAGGACUAUUUAACGGGGCGGAGGACUGCUGGUUACGUAUCUUGCGCGUCUGAAUAGUUCCAGCAGGGGACGGAUCCUAGGUCUGGUGUUGGCGCCAAGAACCUGGCGAACUGCUGAGGGAGACUCGGAGCGUGCGUCAGUCAUGCAGAUUGCGUCUUAACUCUUGGCUGCUUCUUCGGGGUCCGGGGCGGCCAGGUUUAGUUUGACAGGAAAGCCUCGUUUCCUUAUCCCAACCUCGGCUGCAGCUGUUUGGGACGUUCCUGGCUUUGUGCAUUGGGUUCUGGUGCCUGAUGGACACAUUUUUCCAGUUACAGGCCGAAUGUAAGGACCCCAGAGCCAAGCUGUCAGUGAGAACAGUGAAACAAAUAACUGAGUCAUUUCUUUUCUUUCUUUCUUUUUUUUUUUUGAGACGGAGUCUCGCUCUGUCGCCCAGGCUGGAGUGCAGUGGCUCGAUCUCGGCUCGCUGCAUGCUCCGUCUCCCGGGCUCACGCCAUUCUCCUGCCUCAGCCUCCGGAGUAGCUGGGACUGCAGGCGCCCGCCACCACGCCCGGAGAUUUUUUUGUAUUUUUAGUGGAGACGGGGUUUCACCGUGUUAGCUAGGAUGGUCUCGAUCUCCUGACAUCGUGAUCCACCCGCCUCGGCCUCCCAAAGUGCUGGGAUUACAGGCGUGACCCACCGCGCGCGGCCUUUUUUUUUUGAGACGGAGUCUCGCUUCGUCCGUCGCCCAGGCUGAAGUGCAGUGGCGUGACCUCGGUUCGCUGCAACCUCUGCCUCCCGGGUUCAAGUGAUUGUCCUGCCUCAGCCUCCCCAGCAGCUGGGAUUACAGGCGUCCGCCACCACGCUGGGCUAAUUUUUGUAUUUUUAGUAGAGAUGGGGUUUUAUUUUACCAUGUUGGCCAGGCUGGUCUCGAACUCCUGACCUCAAGUGAUUGGCCCGCCUCGGCCUCCCGAAGUGCUGGGAUUACAGGCGUGAGCCACCGCGCCCGGCCUGAGUCAUUUCUUUUUGGAGGCCUGCAAGAGGAUGGAGCAUGAGUUUGCAAAUCCAUUUAGUCACUUUAUUUACCAAACAGUUGAUCCCUGUCUCCACCCACCAAUUGCCAUGGCUGAAGGACUCUGAAGGGGCCCUUCAAAACUCAGUAAAAAUAGAAAAGGACGCACUACUUAUCCUUCCUGGCCCCAUUCUUCGUUAGACUGGGACCGUCUUUAGAUGUGGGCUUUUCAUGGCCUAGAGGGAGGAUUUGUCUUUUUUUCUCCCACCUGGGGACUUCUCUAGAUCAUCCUUAUUUAGGGUAUAGUGUCAUCCUUAUUUAUAGUACACUGCCCAAUUCUGUCCUAUCCAUAUUGGUAUUUACAGUUUCUCUUUUGAGAGUUGGAGUCUUGUCUCAUUCCCGUUUACAUUCUGUUUGGCUCAGUGCUUUCCUAUAGCAGGCACACAAAAACCAGAAGUUAAGCAGAUAACAUAUUUGAGUGAAUUCGUUUAUCUUCUUAGGCACCUAGGAGAAUUAUUACCUGAAAUAUAAUGUUGGUAGUCAGUGGGCAAGCAGAAGAGUGGUUGUACCUGUCUCCCUAACUACUUUUCUAAUUUUAAGUUGAUUUUGCCCUUUCAUUAUCUGUUCAAUGCGAAGUUCACCAUCUAAUGUCUAAAUGCUACUCAAAUCAUUCUUCCUCUAAGUUGAAUAUUAUUAUAGAAAGAUAAAAUGAGGCCGGGCUCAGUGGCUCACGCCUGUAAUCUCAGCACUUUGAGAGGCUAAGGCGGGCAGAUCACCUGAGGUCAGGAGUUAGAGACCAGCCUGGCCAACAUGGUGAAACCCCGUCUCUAUGAAAAAUACAAAAAUUAACCAGGCCUGGUGGCAGGCGCCUGUAAUCCCAGCUACCUGGGAGCCUGAGGUGGGAGGAUCCCUUGACCCUGGUGGGUGGAGGUUGCAGUGAGCGGUGAUCCCCGCCACUGCACUCCAGCCUGGGUGACAGAGUGGGACCCUGUCUCAAAAAUAAAAAAGAAAAAAAAGAUGUAUAAGCUAAGUGUGAAAGCAAGGCUAAUUUCUCAGAUUUCUGUGGCUUUUCUUGUGAAGAGAGAAAAUUAGACUCCA